AAUUGGAUUUGCUUAACAUCAUUUUGCUUAAAGUUGCAUUUUUCAAGAAUGUAACUACGAUAUUAAGCGAGGAGUAGCUAUAGUUAAAUGUUAGCAUG